GGGCGGGCUGCGGCAGCUGUUAGCGCCCGACGAAGCGGGGCUGUUACCUCAGUGGGUUUUCCUCGCCUCACGAGCUGCGCGUAAAAAUAGCAUGAAAUACAUUCAGUAGCAAAGCAGUUGGAAUCCAGGAGAAGUGGAGAGCCCUGUAUUCCUGGAGGAUUAACCUCAUCGAGCCACAAAGAUGAGACUAGUUCACAGAUGUACCAUGCAUCUCAGGAGCAAUUCGAAUCCAACAAGAUAAAACAGUUGUACUAAAAAUGUUCUUUGGAGGCUUGUCCCUAAUGAAAGUAAAGGCUUCAUUUCAGAGUAAUUUUGAGAAAACAGUUUCCACGUAUAAAUAUUACUCUUCCAAAUGCCACUGCUACAAACACUAACUGGGAUGUACAGAUGGAAGGUGAAAGUCAUUUACUGCCUUUAUAUCAUUACCAAAAGUGGAUAGUUCAGCCAUUCAUUGCCUUCUGAAACUUCUUUUGAGAGGUACAAGGUAAGCCAGUUUCUAUCUAACAGUGCUACGAAAUCAUCCUGGCUAGCAAGUAGCAAACAUGAUUUUGUCACAGAAACUCAACUUCCAAAGUCAGAGAGCUGCUACACUGAGAAAGAUGACGUUCUGUCAAACCAAGUUUCAUGAAACACAGAAGCUUACUUAAUUCCCUUUUGAUAUCCUGUGAGAGCAUCGCUCCCAUUUCUCCCUCAUCCACUCACUUUCAUUGGACCCACUGACAUGACUUAAUGUACUGACUUGUCAAAGGACAGAAUGGCAGAAAAAUAUUCACACACACAGUUUUUUAAAAUUCAUCUGCAGUAAGUGCCAUACCAAGGACAGGGACACGACUGUACAAGAGGGAGUCGGGGGUAGGGUCUCUGAGCAGCAGUGAGCUGUUAUGUGAGCACGGCUGCUCAGGGAAUUACAGUCUUCAUUUUUAUU
rnacentral:lncRNA from 1 species